rnacentral:hammerhead_ribozyme from 1 species
AUCCAGCUGACCAGUCCCAAAUACGACAAAACACACGUCCUGGAU